rnacentral:rRNA from 1 species
GACGAACGCUGGCGGCGUGCUUAACACAUGCAAGUCGAACGGAAAGGCCCUGCUUGCCGGGUACUCGAGUGGCGAACGGGUGAGUAACACGUGGGUGAUCUGCCCUGCACUUCGGGAUAAGCUUGGGAAACUGGGUCUAAUACCGGAUAGGAGCCAUCUUUAGUGUGGUGGUUGGAAAGUUUUUUCGGUGUAGGAUGAGCUCGCGGCCUAUCAGCUUGUUGGUGGGGUAAUGGCCUACCAAGGCGGCGACGGGUAGCCGGCCUGAGAGGGUGUACGGCCACAUUGGGACUGAGAUACGGCCCAGACUCCUACGGGAGGCAGCAAUGGGGAAUAUUGCACAAUGGGCGCAAGCCUGAUGCAGCGACGCCGCGUGGGGGAUGAAGGCCUUCGGGUUGUAAACUCCUUUCGCUAGGGACGAAGCUUUGUUGUGACGGUACCUAGAUAAGAAGCACCGGCUAACUACGUG